UUUAAAUGGCCGCAGUAUACUAACUGUGCAAAGGUAGCAUAAUCAUUAGUCUUUUAAUUGAAGGCUGGUAUGAAUGGUUGGACGAGAUAUUAACUGUUUCAUAAAAAUUUAUAAUAGAAUUUUAUUUUUUAGUCAAAAAGCUAAAAUUUAUUUAAAAGACGAGAAGACCCUAUAAAUCUUUAUAUUUAUAUUAUUAUAAUUUUGUAGAUUUUUUUUGUUAUGAUAAUAGAUGAUAUUUUAUUGGGGUGAUAUUAAAAUUUAAUAAACUUUUAAUUGUUUAAAUCAUUAAUUUAUGAAUAAUUGAUCCGUUAUUAGCGAUUAAAAAAACAAGUUACUUUAGGGAUAACAGCGUAAUUUUUUUGGAGAGUUCAUAUCGAUAAAAAAGAUUGCGACCUCGAUGUUGGAUUAAGAUAUAAUUUUAGGUGUAGCCGCUUAAAUUUUAAGUCUG
rnacentral:rRNA from 1 species